AUGCUCCGCCUCCGUGGCUGCAUCCUCGUGCGGCUCCUCUCUUCCCCCGCCACCUCUCAGGCCCCCCUCUCCACCGCCCCCUCUCCGCGGCCGCCGCGCCCGGCGUUUCCCCAAACCCUAGCUUCGUCGUCGACGACUACCUCGUCUCCACCUGCGGCCUCACCCGACCCCAGGCACUCAAGGCCUCCGCCAAGCUCUCCCACCUCAAGUCUCCGUCCAAGCCCGACGCCGUCCUUUCCUUCCUCGCCGGCCUCGGCCUCUCCGGCACCGACGUCGCCGCCCUCGUCGCCAAAGACCCGUUGUUCCUCUGCGCCAAAGUAG
rnacentral:rRNA from 1 species